rnacentral:rRNA from 1 species
GAUGAACGCUAGCGGCAGGCCUAAUACAUGCAAGUCGGACGGGAUUGAGGAGCUUGCUUCUCAUGAGAGUGGCGCACGGGUGCGUAACACGUAUGUAACCUACCUUAGUCAGGGGGAUAGCCUCUCGAAAGAGAGAUUAACACCGCAUAACAUUAUGAUAUGGCAUCAUGUUAUAAUCAAAUAUUUAUAGGACUAAGAUGGGCAUGCGGAACAUUAGCUAGUUGGUAAGGUAACGGCUUACCAAGGCUACGAUGUUUAGGGGAUCUGAGAGGAUGACCCCCCACACUGGUACUGAGACACGGACCAGACUCCUACGGGAGGCAGCAGUAAGGAAUAUUGGUCAAUGGACGCAAGUCUGAACCAGCCGUGCCGCGUGCAGGAAGACGGCCUUACGGGUUGUAAACUGCUUUUGUACCGGAAUAAACCUUUGUAUGUAUACGAAGCUGAAUGUACGGUAAGAAUAAGGAUCGGCUAACUCCGUGCCAGCCGCCGCCGUAA